UGCUGCAACAACCUAAAGAGUCAGCGGGGGUGCUUCUGCAAGUUCGCGCGCAACCCCGCGUACUCCAGCUACAUCAACAGCCGCAACGCCGGCAAGACCCUCACCAGCUGCGGCAUCGCCGUACCGAAGUGCUAGGAGCCGGGCCUCCGCCGCCGGCGCCGGCGUGCUAGGCACCGCCCCGCCGCCUAUUGCUACUACUACUACUACGUAACGUACUACGUACGAGCUCCUACCAUGGCUACUGGUACGACGUCCGUCGAACAGUUCCGUGCGAACCGUGUGUUUCAUGUAUCUUUUUUUUCCCUCUCGAAUACAAUCGUGUGUUCAUGUAUCGUGUGCAAGAAUAAAAUGGUGUGUACGUGUUGAUCCAGCCUCUGCGUAGUUUGUUACUCCUUUGUCAAUUUUUAUCGAUGGAUGUCGAUCGAUCUCGUGUAAUUCCUGUACCUCCGACAAUAUAUAUCCGCACCUUAACAAAAAGUUGCUACUAUAUUGCUUGGUCAUCAGGUCAUG
rnacentral:lncRNA from 1 species